CAUGCAAAAGUUAGCCUUCUGCCCAAUAGACAGGUUGCAGAUGAAGCACUAUCCACUUACAAAACGGAGCACCCUCCAGAGAAGAAUAAUAAUUCAAGGGUUAAAAUCUACCUUGAGAAGCACAAGGGAUUGCAUACUGCUUUACUGAUCUUGGUACUUCUUGGUACAUGUAUGGUAAUUGGAGAUGGACUGCUCACUCCAGCAAUUUCUGUUUUUUCUGCAGUGUCUGGCCUUGAGUU
rnacentral:misc_RNA from 1 species